UCAAUUAAAUUCUACCGUCCUAUUUGCCCAAUCAAAUACUUUGAUGCCGGCCAUUUCCAUCUUUUCUUUCAAUUCAGACUUAAUGGCAAUACCAUUUUCCAAGGGAAGCUUUAAACCACCGAUACUUUUGAUCUGCCAAUUUAGACUUCCCCCUUUCUUCCUUCUUCCUUCUUCCUUCUCCCCCCUUCUUCAAUCCGGUUCUCUUUCGUAGUCGGUAUUCCUCUGAUUUUCGGCAUACGUUGGAACGCUUUCAACCGGGUACAUUUCUUCUUUUCUUCUUAAUGAUUCUGUUGCAAGUGUGUGUGCUAGACCAUUCGCUGAUCUUGGAGUAUAUUAUUCAAACCUUACUCUGCUAGGUCUGGACUGUAGUUGUUGAAUAUCAUGAAUAUAGACCCCUAUUUGCGAUUUAUCUUCCCCUUUCACCUUGCAUUUCUUUAUUACCGAUAAAGAGUCGCCUUCAAUAAUGAUUUCCUUCUUUUGCAUGUCGAGUGCUAUUUGGGUCGCUUUUCUACAAGUGAGUGCUUCGGCUGGGAAGGCGGAAAGAACUCUGUAGUGAAUCUCUGUGCAUGUUACGAGGACAAAACCUUCGCUAUUUCUGACUACUAUCCCGAAAGCCGAUUGUCAGAUGCGCUCAUUAUAUGCUCCGUCAAAGUUUAUUUUUACUAUUUGACCAGGUGGGUGUUUGCAUUUAGUAUUCUCCUUUGAAACUAUGGAAGUAGUGCUCUCCAAACCAUCCACUUCUUUUAAGUAUCUAUGUACAAAGCAUACAAUUUCCUUACCAGAUCUAUUUGUUUUAUCAUGUACUUGAGCAUUUCUCUCCCCCCAUAUGGCACAUAACGUACAACAAAACAGUCUGCAAAGGGAGGUUGGCUGGUCAACGAGGAUCCUGGACAAUCCCAAAAGAGGUGGUCCGUUGUUUCUGCUCCUUCACCACAACAAGGACAUGUUGGACUAUUUACUAGUUUCCUACAAGACAUAUUUACCCGAGUAGGCAAAUAGUUCCAAGAAAUUUUCCAGCAUGUAAUUAUAAUUUUUUUUUUUGGUAGAUCUAGGCUCCAUAGUUUUUUGUAGAAAGCUUUGUAGUCAGGAUGUAAAGCAUAAAUUCUAGGUUCCAUACUUUGUAAUAGUUUAUAGGCGCUUCAAACUGAGGAUUUGCAGCUCUAAACCCUAAAAUCAGCGUGAGGUUCUUUUAUCAA